rnacentral:tRNA from 1 species
GCCGACGUAGCUCAGCCUGGCCAGAGCGCUCGCCUCGUAAGCGAGAGGUCCCGGGUUCGAGUCCCGGAGCCGGCUCCA